GAUGAACGCUGGCGGCGUGCCUAAUACAUGCAAGUCGAGCGAACGGACGAGAAGCUUGCUUCUCUGAUGUUAGCGGCGGACGGGUGAGUAACACGUGGAUAACCUACCUAUAAGACUGGGAUAACUUCGGGAAACCGUAGCUAAUACCGGAUAAUAUUUUGAACCGCAUGGUUCAAAAGUGAAAGACGGUCUUGCUGUCACUUAUAGAUGGAUCCGCGCUGCAUUAGCUAGUUGGUAAGGUAACGGCUUACCAAGGCAACGAUGCAUAGCCGACCUGAGAGGGUGAUCGGCCACACUGGAACUGAGACACGGUCCAGACUCCUACGGGAGUCAGCAGUAGGGAAUCUUCCGCAACGGGCGAAAGCCUGACGGAGCAACGCCGCGUGAGUGAUGAAGGUCUUCGGAUCGUAAAACUCUGUUAUUAGGGAAGAACAUAUGUGUAAGUAACUGUGCACAUCUUGACGGUACCUAAUCAGAAAGCCACGGCUAACUACGUG
rnacentral:rRNA from 1 species